rnacentral:rRNA from 1 species
UACGUAUGGUGCAAGCGUUAUCCGGAAUGACUGGGUGUAAAGGGAGCGUAGACGGUUGUACAAGUCUGAUGUGAAAGCCCACGGCUCAACUGUGGGAGUGCAUUGGAAACUGUAGAACUAGAGUAUCGGAGAGGCAAGUGGAAUUCCUAGUGUAGCGGUGAAAUGCGUAGAUAUUAGGAGGAACACCAGUGGCGAAGGCGGCUUACUGGACUGUAACUGACGUUGAGGCUCGAAGGCGUGGGGAGCAAACAGG